GACGAACGCUGGCGGCGUGCUUAACACAUGCAAGUCGAGCGAUGAAGUUCCUUCGGGAACGGAUUAGCGGCGGACGGGUGAGUAACACGUGGGUAACCUGCCUCAUAGAGGGGAAUAGCCUUCCGAAAGGAAGAUUAAUACCGCAUAAGAUUGUAGUUUCGCAUGAAACAGCAAUUAAAGGAGUAAUCCGCUAUGAGAUGGACCCGCGUCGCAUUAGCUAGUUGGUGAGGUAACGGCUCACCAAGGCGACGAUGCGUAGCCGACCUGAGAGGGUGAUCGGCCACAUUGGGACUGAGACACGGCCCAGACUCCUACGGGAGGCAGCAGUGGGGAAUAUUGCACAAUGGGGGAAACCCUGAUGCAGCAACGCCGCGUGAGUGAUGACGGCCUUCGGAUUGUAAAACUCUGUCUUCAGGGACGAUAAUGACGGUACCUGAGGAGGAAGCCACGGCUAACUACGUGCCAGCCGCCGCCGUAA
rnacentral:rRNA from 1 species